UUUGCACAUUCAUUAUUUUAGAGACCCUAAGCAGAUGAUCACAUGCUCUUCCAUUCUACUUGUGUUUCUUGCAGGGAAUGGGAGUGUGUCAGAACUGUGUAGCAAAUUAUGUUGUUAUUUUUUGCAACUGGUUUAUCUCAUAGCUUGCAGAAUUUGGAAGGUAGUGUCUUCCAAGAGUUUUCCGUCAUCCAGACUAAUCUUGUGUCACAGAGAGCUGUGUGAAUCUACAUAAAUCCUUUAAGCUAAAAUAUUACUGUAACAGCUAAUUUUCUGUUGUUCAUUGAAUAUGUCUGCCCAACUUUAUCUUGAUUUUCAGAUUUUCGGAGCCCUUAAGGAAGUUCUGUACCUUUUGAAUGGUGUUCAGAGAAUCAAGAGUGUUCAACAUCAUUUGCAAUAACUCAGUGGGAUCUGAAGGACUGAGCCUCUGGUUGGGACCCUCCACUGCCCUGAGUUCUGGACCUACCAUUACCACUGUCUCUACAACAUCAGCACUCAGACUUAGGGUGAUCUCCCAGUCUAUCAGGUACAGAGUACUUCAUUAUGUGCACGACCAGAAAUGCUUAAAUGGAUGA
rnacentral:lncRNA from 1 species